rnacentral:tRNA from 1 species
GGGAGCUAAGUCAUUGUAAAGGUGCACAAAGUUAUCUAUAGUUGUGUAUGGCAAAGGACUCAUAAUCCUUUGGUGCCCGGUUCGACUCCGGGAGGGCCUACCA